UGAAGGCUCUAUGGGCCGUAAACUGCUUUUGUACGGGAAGAAACCCUCCUAUGUAUAGGGGGCUGACGGUACCGUAAGAAUAAGGAUCGGCUAACUCCGUGC
rnacentral:rRNA from 1 species